AUGUCCAUGGACAUUGUCAUAAUGGUCACCUUAUCGCAGUGUAUUAUUUUUGGAUCUCAUAUUCCUCAAGGCGCUCCAUUCUCUGAUUCGAUGUCUGGCGAUCUGAGAAAUAAGAGGAGGAAUAAUCCAGCAGAAGAAUUUGGUGAAGAAGAACAAGAAAAGAAUACCUUUAUCCUGAUAGGCAUGGAAACACCGGUUCGCAUUGAGUGCAUCAUCGCUAAUCAACUACUAUGUAUGGUCAGCGGACAUGCAUGCUUAUUCCCGAGACUGCAACUGACAUGCUGGAUGGGGAAUAACCAAAUUUGUGGACAAAGACAGAGUUCAUCGCAAGGGGUGGUGUUUAGGAUAUAUACACAAAAGAGGAAACUUUUUUUGUACAGAACCAAAUUAUAUGAUGUAAUAGACCACUAUUUCUAA
rnacentral:rRNA from 1 species